CGCGAAGGCAGGUCCACUAACUUAUUAACCUGACGCUUGAUGGACGAAAGCCGUGGGGAGCCGAACCGGGAUUUAGAUACCCCCGGUAGUCCCACGCCGUAAACGAUGGAUACUAGGCUGUUGGGGUUUUCGGACUCCGGUGGCCCAAGCGAAAGUGAUAAGUAUCCCCACCCUGGGGGGUACGUUCCGCAAGAAUGAAACUCCAAAGGAAUUGACGGGGGCCCGCACAAGCCGGUGGAGCCAUGUGGUUUAAUUCCGAUGAUACGCGAGGAACCUUACCAGGGCUUAAAUGUAGUGGGACAGGCUUAGAGAUAGGCUUUUCUUCGGACUCAUUACAAGGUGCUGCAUGGUUGUCGUCAGCUCGUGCCGUGAGGUGUCUGGUUAAGUCCUAUAACGAGCGCAACCCCUGCCGUUAGUUGCCAGCAAGUAAAGUUGGGGACUCUAACGGGACUGCCGGUGCAAACCGUGAGGAAGGUGGGGAUGACGUCAAAUCAUCACGGCCCUUACGUCCUGGGCUAACACACGUGCUAACAAUGGCCGGUACAAUGAGCAGCCACUGCGCGAGCAGG
rnacentral:rRNA from 1 species